rnacentral:rRNA from 1 species
GAGUAACGACAAUGGGUGUGAAAAACACCCACGCCGAAAGACCAAGGUUUCCUGCGCAACGUUAAUCGACGCAGGGUUAGUCGGUCCCUAAGGCGAGGCUGAAAAGCGUAGUCGAUGGAAAACAGGUUAAUAUUCCUGUACUUCUGGUUAUUGCGAUGGAGGGACGGAGAAGGCUAGGCCAGCUUGGCGUUGGUUGUCCAAGUUUAAGGUGGUAGGCUGGAAUCUUAGGUAAAUCCGGGAUUCUAAGGCCGAGAGCUGAUGACGAGUUAUCUUUUAGAUGACGAAGUGGUUGAUGCCAUGCUUCCAAGAAAAGCUUCUAAGCUUCAGGUAACCAGGAACCGUACCCCAAACCGACACAGGUGGUUGGGUAGAGAAUACCAAGGCGCUUGAGAGAACUCGGGUGAAGGAACUAGGCAAAAUGGCACCGUAACUUCGGGAGAAGGUGCGCCGGUGAGGGUGAAGCAUUUACUGCGUAAGCCCAUGCCGGUCGAAGAUACCAGGCCGCUGCGACUGUUUAUUAAAAACACAGCACUCUGCAAACACGAAAGUGGACGUAUAGGGUGUGACGCCUCCCCGGUGCCGGAAGGUUAAUUGAUGGGGUUAGCUAACGCGAAGCUCUUGAUCGAAGCCCCGGUAAACGGCGGCCGUAACGAUAACGGUCCUAAGGUAGCGAAAUUCCUUGUCGGGUAAGUUCCGACCUGCACGAAUGGCGUAACGAUGGCGGCGCUGUCUCCACCCGAGACUCAGUGAAAUUGAAAUCGCUGUGAAGAUGCAGUGUAUCCGCGGCUAGACGGCAAGACCCCGUGAACCUUUACUAUAGCUUUGCACUGGACUUUGAAUUUGCUUGUGUAGGAUAGGUGGGAGGCUUUGAAGCGUGGACGCCAGUUCGCGUGGAGCCAACCUUGAAAUACCACCCUGGCAACUUUGAGGUUCUAACUCAGGUCCGUUAUCCGGAUCGAGGACAGUGUAUGGUGGGUAGUUUGACUGGGGCGGUCUCCUCCUAAAGAGUAACGGAGGAGUACGAAGGUGCGCUCAGACCGGUCGGAAAUCGGUCGUAGAGUAUAAAGGCAAAAGCGCGCUUGACUGCGAGACAGACACGUCGAGCAGGUACGUAAGUAGGUCUUAGUGAUCCGGUGGUUCUGUAUGGAAGGGCCAUCGCUCAACGGAUAAAAGGUACUCCGGGGAUAACAGGCUGAUACCGCCCAAGAGUUCAUAUCGACGGCGGUGUUUGGCACCUCGAUGUCGGCUCAUCACAUCCUGGGGCUGAAGCCGGUCCCAAGGGUAUGACUGUUCGCCAUUUAAAGUGGUACGCGAGCUGGGUUUAGAACGUCGUGAGACAGUUCGGUCCCUAUCUGCCGUGGACGUUUGAGAUUUGAGAGGGGCUGCUCCUAGUACGAGAGGACCGGAGUGGACGAACCUCUGGUGUUCCGGUUGUCACGCCAGUGGCAUUGCCGGGUAGCUAUGUUCGGAAUAGAUAACCGCUGAAAGCAUCUAAGCGGGAAACUAGCCUCAAGAUGAGAUCUCACUGGGACCUUGAGUCCCCUGAAGGGCCGUCGAAGACUACGACGUUGAUAGGUUGGGUGUGUAAGCGCUGUGAGGCGUUGAGCUAACCAAUACUAAUUGCCCGUGAGGCUUGACC